UACGGGGGGAGCAAGCGUUGUUCGGAUUUACUGGGCGUAAAGGGCGCGUAGGCGGCUUAACAAGUCACUUGUGAAAUCUCCGGGCUUAACUCGGAACGGCCAAGUGAAACUGUCAAGCUAGAGUGCAGAAGGGGCAAUCGGAAUUCUUGGUGUAGCGGUGAAAUGCGUAGAUAUCAAGAGGAACACCUGAGGUGAAGACGGGUUGCUGGGCUGACACUGAGACACGAAAGCCAGGGGAGCGAACGGG
rnacentral:rRNA from 1 species